rnacentral:rRNA from 1 species
CAUUGGCUUUGUGGCUGGAAUAAUUUUAGUUUCUGUAGGUUUCGUACCUUUUGCAUCAUGAUUUCUUGAGUCUAUUAGAUUAUUUCUGUUUCUCGAAAGGCUUCGAUUUAGGUUUUGCCUGCUAUGCGCUUAGAGGUUUAUGGGUCAUAGUCUUUAGAGUUUGCCUAGGCGUGAUAAGUGUAACGUGUUGCCUAAUAUCUUGUUUUAAGGAAAGUGUUUUCGAAGUACCUGUGCUGCUCCGAUGUGGCACAGGUUUUAAGAGAGUUGUUUUUUUUUAAUUUAUUGGGUUAGAGGUACCCGUAUUUAUUAUUUGUGUUGCUACAUAGGGUUAGCUUAUUUUGCUCUUUAAUCUAGUUUCCUUUAGUUAACUAUUGAAGUUAGUAUGAGAAAAUUAGUAGUUUUAUUAAUCAGUUUUUUUCUCGGAAAUUGCCAGACUGUUUCUCAAAAACAUUUCCAUUAUAAAGGUUUAAUGGUACAGCCUGCCCAAUGUUUUUAUGAAUGGCCGCAGUAUUUUGACUGUGCUAAGGUAGCAUAAUUACUUGCCUUUUAAUUGGAGGAUUGUUUGAAAGGUGUUACUAGGUUAGUUUUCUAGAUGCUGAUUUUUUUUGAAAUUGGUAUGCUGGUGCAGAACCCAGUUUUUUGUAAUAAGACGGAAAGACCCCGAGAGCUUUGUAGGUUUACUUUUUUGGGGAAAAGGCUUAUUUUUUAUGUGUUUUCUGAUCCUUCUGGAUAACAGGUUUAAGCUACCUCGGGGAUAACUAGGUGAUAAAUAAGGUGAGUUCGUAUCUAUUUAUUUGUUUGCCAUCUCGAUGUUGACUUAAGGUUAGUGUGGUGGUGUAGGUGUUACUAUGCUUGGUCUGUUCGACCUUUAAACCUUUCAUGAGUUGAGUUAAGACCGGCGUAAGCCAGGUCGGUUCUUAUCUAUUGUUUACGGGGCUUCGUACGAAAGGAUUGGUCCUGUUUUAUGUU